GAGACUAUAUACAGGGGGUACCGGUACAGAGUCAAUGUGGAGGCUAUAUACAGGGGGUACCGGUACAGAGUCAAUGUGGAGGCUAUAUACAGGGGGUACCGGUACAGAGUCAAUGUGGAGACUAUAUACAGGGGGUACCGGUACAGAGUUAAUGUGGAGACUAUAUACAGGGGGUACCGGUACAGAGUUAAUGUGGAGACUAUAUACAGGGGGUACCGGUACAGAGUCAAUGUGGAGACUAUAUACAGGGGGUACCGGUACAGAGUCAAUGUGGAGACUAUAUACAGGGGGUACCGGUACAGAGUCAAUGUGGAGACUAUAUACAGGGGGUGCCGGUAUAGAGUCAAUGUGGAGACUAUAUACAGGGGGUACCGGUACAGAGUCAAUGUGGAGACUAUAUACAGGGGGGUACCGGUACAGAGUCAAUGUGGAGACUAUAUACAGGGGGGUACCGGUACAGAGUCAAUGUGGAGACUAUAUACAGGGGGGUACCGGUACAGAGUCAAUGUGGAGACUAUAUACAGGGGGUACCGGUACAGAGUCAAUGUGGAGACUAUAUACAGGGGGGUACCGGUACAGAGUCAAUGUGGAGGCUAUAUACAGGGGGGUACCGGUACAGAGUCAAUGUGGAGGCUAUAUGCAGGGGGUACCGGUACAGAGUCAAUGUGGAGACUAUA